GUGAAAAAUAACAAGGAAAAUUAAAAUCACUUAUUUUGCCAAAUAUUCUUUAAAGUUACUUUUAAACUAUAAUAGAACUUGCAACACGAUUAGAAUGCAGUAAGUGGUCAGUACAUUCAGAAAAUCCUUUUCUGCAAGUCUUGAUGAGAAAAUUCCAAGUCAACUACGGUGUUGAACCUUGAUGAUGCAAACAAUUAAUUUUCAAAUAGAAUUGAAUCAGAGCUAGAAAAUUUGUUCUCUCUCAUCUUCUUCAUUUUUUUAAUCAUGAUUUCUUCAAGAGAGCUCUGUAGGGAUGCUGCCAGGUUUUUUGUUUAUAUCUCUGUGUUUCUUCAUGUAUUUAACCUCAACUUUGUGUACUCUAAAUGCCCAAAAAGUUUCCAGUGUGGACAUCUUGGCAAUUUGGAAUUUCCUCUGGCCGAUUAUUCACAACCCGAAUGUGGGUUGUUCACGGCUGAGUGCAAUAAUAUCUCGAAACCAAUAAUUCACCUGGAUACUGAAAGGUUAUCGCCAUCCUAUGAGAUUGUGUCCAACAUAUCUACCAACCAAGUAUUGGUUCGAAACCCUGUUCUUGAAGGUCUCUUGAGAAGUAACAGCUGCAGUUUAUUCCCCGAACUCUAUAUUCCACACACUCAUUCUAUUACGAUCACAUUCUUCCCCAAUAUCACUUUGACCAGAUGCCCCAAAAAUAGGAACUCCGAUGACGAUGAGAUACGUCGUUUACAUGGAUCUUACAGAAACUACACGGGCUGCGAUUUCGUCGAUAUAUAUUACGCCAACUCAAAUGAAAGUCUUCCGCCACCAAUUCCGAAAGAUUGUUCUGCAAUUUACUUGCCACUCAAAUUACAGCCCAUAUCAGAUUCAGCUGACUUGUUCGAACAGAUAGGCACCGAUUAUAAUAUCCACUGGAAUCUAUCUGAUGAUUGUAUUAAUUGCCACCGAGAGGGAGGACGUUGUACAGAUGACGCUAAUAAUAAAUUUAGAUGUGAAAAAGUAUCAUCGCCCUUUGAACUUGAUUUUUCAUUAUUGAAUAUUAAAAUUUUUGAAU
rnacentral:lncRNA from 1 species